GACGUAGGGCGCGAGCGUUGUCCGGAUUUAUUGGGCGUAAAGAGCUCGUAGGCGGUCUGUUGCGUCGGCUGUGAAAACCCGGGGCUCAACUCCGGGCCUGCAGCCGAUACGGGUGGACUAGAGGUAGGUAGGGGAGAUCGGAAUUCCUGGUGUAGCGGUGAAAUGCGCAGAUAUCAGGAGGAACACCGGUGGCGAAGGCGGGUCUCUGGGCCGAUACUGACGCUGAGGAGCGAAAGCGUGGGGAGCGAACAGG
rnacentral:rRNA from 1 species